rnacentral:rRNA from 1 species
UACGUAGGGUCCGAGCGUUGUCCGGAAUUAUUGGGCGUAAAGAGCUCGUAGGUGGUUUGUCGCGUUGUUCGUGAAAACUCACAGCUCAACUGUGGGCGUGCGGGCGAUACGGGCAGACUGGAGUACUGCAGGGGAGACUGGAAUUCCUGGUGUAGCGGUGGAAUGCGCAGAUAUCAGGAGGAACACCGAUGGCGAAGGCAGGUCUCUGGGCAUUAACUGACGCUGAGGAGCGAAAGCAUGGGGAGCGAACAGG